ACCACUCAUUUAUCUGAGCUUCGAAUGUUAGGAGCGUUAAAAAUAGUCUGCCAGAUUUGCCAUCUGUUUGAUACAGUGGGAGUUUCUCUAAGAGAAGAACAGAAAACCAGAGCAUGUGUGCAUGUCCAUGUGUGGGGGAGAAAACACCAAAGCCCUCACCUAAGGGUCUGAGCAAAAAUGAAAACUCCCCCGAGCUCUUCAAACACUGACUCUGAUAGAGGAUGAGAAAUGUGGCAGAUAUUUUAUCCCAAAAGCCACAUCUCUGUAAUCCUGCUGAAUCACACAGUUGUGGGCAGGGACAUGGCUUUAGAAUGUUCAUUUCAACACGAAAUGUACGUGUGGGGUUUGCCUGAUGUAAUUUUAACCAUCCCCAGGCUCAGCAUCUCUCGAGUGCCUCUCUGCCAGGUGCCCUCUGUUGCCAGCAGAGAAGGAGGACAAUCUCCAAACCAGCCCACAUGUCUCCAAACCCCCUUUAGGGUGGGAUGGAUCAUCCCCUGGAGAUGCCACCUCCCUCCCCAGUGACUACAGGGGAACCUGCAUGACUCUCCUGGAGCAGCCACAACUCCUGUGGUUAACUGGGGUGAAUCCCAUUCCUUUCCCUGUACAUUGCCCUACAUGAAGGAACAGGAGCUGCCAGACAGAGCUGACGUGCCAGGAUCCCAAGGCAUGUGGUACCAGGAGGCUCCAUUCCAUCCAUGCUUUGGGGAGGCCACCAGGCAACCAAUUUAUUAAACCUGGGAAAAGAGAAUCGCAGCCCUCAGCUCAGCAGAGCCGGCAGGGACAAUCUCACGGCAGCAGAGGGACCAUCAUCACCACUGAGCUACGUCUGAGAUGGAUCAAGGGGAGCAGCUUUCUCGGGGGAAUCCGGCACAGAUCUGGAUUCUCCAAGGUCCUGUUCCUGAGGACGCGACUUUGAGCGGUCGCCGUGGGUCUGCAGGGCAGUGGUGGGGUGGGACUGUGAGUGUCAGCUCUGCCUUCACUCACAGCAGAGCGGAGGUAAAGGACAGCGCAUUUUUCGUUGCUGUUUCUUUACAGAAUUAAAAACCAAAAGGCGAGAUCGGGUGAAGCGAAAAUUUAGAGCUGGAAGACGAGAACGAUCUGAAUUUUGCAAAUCAAGAGUUUGCUUGUUCUGGAGCCUCUCUGUUACAGAAAAGGCACUUGGUUUGCGGCCAAAGAACUGCUGACAAAGAGAAGGGGGGGAAUAAAAAAAGAAAAAAAAAAAAAGAAAAAAAAAA